CAGAGCAGCCCCAGGAGGUCUGCACGGUUACAGCAGGUAGCCCAUCUUACAGAUAAGGAAACCAACCAGAAGCAGCACCAUGAACAAACAACUGCAAAGAGCAAGAAACGAGAGGCAAAUCAACUCCUGCUUUAAAAUCGAUUAUAAGGCUUUACCACCAUCAACGUUUUAUUAUUCGAUAUCACAAAAUCAUUACCUCUAUAGCACGGCAUUUCACGAUGACAUAAAAAUGAACUUUGUUCCUUACGGAAAAUGCUAUAAAUAUGCACAAGGGAAGUUUUUAUUCUUUCAGAAAUAGUAAUCAACCGAUAAAUCAGGACACCACAAGUCAGUCCUAUCUCUUCUAGAAGACUCCAUAAGACUUGUAAUCAGUUCAACAAGAAUUGAGAGAUGUCUCAGAAGCCACCAUGAAAUUCUAAACCUUCAUCAAGACAAAAUAAACCACAAAAUGGUUAAAAGUCUGCUGCAAAUGGGGGGGGGGGUAAACAUUUGCCACAGAGUUGGCGAACAAGAGUGCUGACUGGAUUAUAUUGAACCCCACAAAUCAAUCACACAGACCACUCAGCACACAAAGGAGCAUCCAAGAAUUUCACCAAAUCUGAAAGCUCAGGUGUCCUGCUGCUCAAUAAGGAGCAAUGAACCUCACUAAGAACCCUGGCGACACAAGCGGAAAUCACAGCCACCUAUCUCAGCUCAGCCACUUUUAGUUGGCCAGUGGGAGCCGAUGUUGAUGGAAGGCAGGAUGAAGGCUCCGUAAACUCAGUGGUGGGCGUCUGAAUGGCACGCUGGAGCAUGCGGGAUACUGGGAGUACCAGCUUCACAGACGAUGAUCACAUCCUGCACCCUCAAGUUCUUUUCUGAGGAGCAUCCAAAUAGAUGCACUGGAGUAUACAGUCCCUCGUCACAAUUAGAAGUAUGAGAAACUGGGCACACCCUAAAAAUAUUCAUCAGCCAAGGAGUGGUUAAUUAAACAUGGUAUAUUAUA
ensembl:lincRNA 1700120C18Rik RIKEN cDNA 1700120C18 gene